rnacentral:rRNA from 1 species
GGGCCUGAUUUUUACGUCUGACCUGCCCAGUGAUAAUUUUAACGGCCGCGGUAUACUGACCGUGCAAAGGUAGCAUAAUCAUUAGUCUUUUAAUAGAGGGCUGGAAUGAAAGGUUUAACGAGGAAUUGACUGUCUCAUUUUAUUUGUUUUAAAAUUUAAUUUUUUAGUUAAAAAGCUAAAAUCUUAUUGGAAGACGAGAAGACCCUAUAGAGCUUUACAUAUAAUUAAAUAAAUAUUUUUAUAUUAAUAUCUUUAUUUAAUUUUGUGUUUUGUUGGGGUGACAAAAAUAUAUAAAUAACUUUUUUAUUUAAUUAACAUUGAUUUAUGAGUAUUAGAUCCAUUAUUAUUGAUUAUUAGACUAAGUUACCUUAGGGAUAACAGCGUAAUCCUCCUCCAGAGUUCAUAUUUACAGGAUGGGCUUGCGACCUCGAUGUUGGAUUAAGAUAAUAAUUAGGUGUAGCCGCUUAAUUGAUAGGUCUGUUCGACCUUUAAAUUCUUACAUGAUCUGAGUCAAAACCGGGAGAAUUAAUAAU